AGGGAUAUAGCUCAGUGGUAGAGCACUUGCCUAGCAUGUGUGAGCCUCUGGGUUCAAUCAUCAGUCUCCCUU
rfam:Ictidomys tridecemlineatus contig035396, whole genome shotgun sequence.